rnacentral:rRNA from 1 species
CGUCCCUCCCCGUCCGCCGACCACUCAAGACUACCGUACGGGGGCGAGGCAGUGGGGAAUCGUUGCGCAAUGGGCGAAAGGCCUGACGCAGCAACGCCGCGUGGAGGACGAAGGCUUUCUGUAGUUGUAAACUCCUUUCAGCAGGGACGAUUGUGACGGUACCUGCAGAAGAAGCACCGGCCAACUACGUGCCAGCAGCCGCGGUAAUUC